rnacentral:rRNA from 1 species
ACGCUAGCUACAGGCUUAACACAUGCAAGUCGAGGGGCAGCAUGGUCUUAGCUUGCUAAGGCCGAUGGCGACCGGCGCACGGGUGAGUAACACGUAUCCAACCUGCCGUCUACUCUUGGACAGCCUUCUGAAAGGAAGAUUAAUACAAGAUGGCAUCAUGAGUCCGCAUGUUCACAUGAUUAAAGGUAUUCCGGUAGACGAUGGGGAUGCGUUCCAUUAGAUAGUAGGCGGGGUAACGGCCCACCUAGUCUUCGAUGGAUAGGGGUUCUGAGAGGAAGGUCCCCCACAUUGGAACUGAGACACGGUCCAAACUCCUACGGGAGGCAGCAGUGAGGAAUAUUGGUCAAUGGGCGAGAGCCUGAACCAGCCAAGUAGCGUGAAGGAUGACUGCCCUAUGGGUUGUAAACUUCUUUUAUAAAGGAAUAAAGUCGGGUAUGGAUACCCGUUUGCAUGUACUUUAUGAAUAAGGAUCGGCUAACUCCGUGCCAGCAGCCGCGGUAAUACGGAGGAUCCGAGCGUUAUCCGGAUUUAUUGGGUUUAAAGGGAGCGUAGAUGGAUGUUUAAGUCAGUUGUGAAAGCUUGCGGCUCAACCGUAAAAUUGCAGUUGAUACUGGAUAUCUUGAGUGCAGUUGAGGCAGGCGGAAUUCGUGGUGUAGCGGUGAAAUGCUUAGAUAUCACGAAGAACUCCGAUUGCGAAGGCAGCCUGCUAAGCUGCAACUGACAUUGAGGCUCGAAAGUGUGGGUAUCAAACAGGAUUAGAUACCCUGGUAGUCCACACGGUAAACGAUGAAUACUCGCUGUUUGCGAUAUACAGCAAGCGGCCAAGCGAAAGCGUUAAGUAUUCCACCUGGGGAAUACGCCGGCAACGGUGAAACUCAAAGGAAUUGACGGGGGCCCGCACAAGCGGAGGAACAUGUGGUUUAAUUCGAUGAUACGCGAGGAACCUUACCCGGGCUUAAAUUGCAGAUGAAUUACGGUGAAAGCCGUAAGCCGCAAGGCAUCUGUGAAGGUGCUGCAUGGUUGUCGUCAGCUCGUGCCGUGAGGUGUCGGCUUAAGUGCCAUAACGAGCGCAACCCUUGUUGUCAGUUACUAACAGGUCAUGCUGAGGACUCUGACAAGACUGCCAUCGUAAGAUGUGAGGAAGGUGGGGAUGACGUCAAAUCAGCACGGCCCUUACGUCCGGGGCUACACACGUGUUACAAUGGGGGGUACAGAGGGCCGCUACCACGCGAGUGGAUGCCAAUCCCAAAAACCUCUCUCAGUUCGGACUGGAGUCUGCAACCCGACUCCACGAAGCUGGAUUCGCUAGUAAUCGCGCAUCAGCCACGGCGCGGUGAAUACGUUCCCGGGCCUUGUACACACCGCCCGUCAAGCCAUGGGAGCCGGGGGUACCUGAAGUGCGUAACCGCGAGGAGCGCCCUAGGGUAAAACUGGUGACUGGGGCUAAG